rnacentral:rRNA from 1 species
UGGGGAAUUUUGGACAAUGGGGGAAACCCUGAUCCAGCCAUCCCGCGUGUGCGAUGAAGGCCUUCGGGUUGUAAAGCACUUUUGGCAGGAAAGAAACGUCAUGGGUUAAUACCCCGUGAAACUGACGGUACCUGCAGAAUAAGCACCGGCUAACUACGUGCCAGCAGCCGCGGUAAUACGUAGGGUGCAAGCGUUAAUCGGAAUUACUGGGCGUAAAGCGUGCGCAGGCGGUUCGGAAAGAAAGAUGUGAAAUCCCAGAGCUCAACUUUGGAACUGCAUUUUUAACUACCGGGCUAGAGUGUGUCAGAGGGAGGUGGAAUUCCGCGUGUAGCAGUGAAAUGCGUAGAUAUUCGGAGGAACACCGAUGGCGAAGGCAGCCUCCUGGGAUAACACUGACGCUCAUGCACGAAAGCGUGGGGAGCAAACAGG